GACGAACGCUGGCGGCGUGCUUAACACAUGCAAGUCGAACGGAAAGGCCCUGCUUUUGUGGGGUGCUCGAGUGGCGAACGGGUGAGUAACACGUGAGUAACCUGCCCUUGACUUUGGGAUAACUUCAGGAAACUGGGGCUAAUACCGGAUAGGAGCUCCUGCUGCAUGGUGGGGGUUGGAAAGUUUCGGCGGUUGGGGAUGGACUCGCGGCUUAUCAGCUUGUUGGUGGGGUAGUGGCUUACCAAGGCUUUGACGGGUAGCCGGCCUGAGAGGGUGACCGGACACAUUGGGACUGAGAUACGGCCCAGACUCCAACGGGAGGCAGCAGUGGGGAAUAGUGCACAAUGGGCGGAAGCCUGAUGCAGCAACGCCGCGUGCGGGAUGACGGCCUUCGGGUUGUAAACCGCUUUCGCCUGUGACGAAGCGUGAGUGACGGUAAUGGGUAAAGAAGCACCGGCUAACUACGUG
rnacentral:rRNA from 1 species